GACGAGUCCAAACCAUGAUUUUGAGUGAAACUCUCUCUGACAUGGUAAGUUACACGUUGUUUAAAGACUAUUAUUGCCUUAGUUUAUGAUAAAACUGGUUUUAAAAACUGUUGAAGCUGUUGGCUGAUGAUGCAUUCCUUCCAGAGAUGAAAUUUACCCCCAGAGUGAAUUGCAAUAAAGACACAGUACCAGCCAUUUGAUGUAUCGCUAGUGAACUUGCAGUAAGCUGGAUGUCACUUGAAACCUCUUCCAUGGGAACCACAUGAGCUAUCGAUUGUUUACCUCUGCCAUACCUCUAACAGUUAGAUAUUUCCUUGAUUGCCCAAAGAGGAAGAUGUGGAGAUAAAUUGUCUGUUUACUGAGAUAUAUAAAACUAAUAUUCUCUCUUUCCUUGUCCUUGCUUCUUCCAUCCAGCUAUAUGUUCCUGUGAGGUCUCCCCAGCUAACUCACCAAUAAUUCCAUGUAUGGAAGGAAGACAGAUAAGGGUAACUGGAUUUGGUGUCUUCCUGGGAAUAUUGACACUGUAAGCCUUUACCCCAGAGGAAGCUGGUGCUGCUUGUGGGGAAGCCCUUUGCACAGCCACGUAGCCCUGUGAAACACUUGAUUCCGCCGAACUGUGUGCAUGGUGAGUGAAAAAGACUCAUUUUCUCCAUAGACCCAGUUGCCUUCACAAUGCUUUCCUUUGCCUUAGCUCUGAUGACAUUUUGAGAAAUUGAAGAAAGUAGGCGUGGAGCAGAAGUCUUCACCCUUUUCUCGUUGCCACCUCCCCCUUCUUUUCUAGACAUGAUAAACGAGCCAGGUUUCACCGGCUAAAAAUCUAUGAAAACAUAGUCUCCAGCACCCUGCUACAACUUUGAUUAUGUUGCUUAAUGUUGUUUGUUCAUAACACCAGCGUGACUAUGACAAGGACAUAAACUCGCCAAAUAACUGAAAUAUUAAAAAUAUUACUACUUUGCCUUUACGCACCUGCUGGCAAAUCUUCUCAAGCCCUUUCCAGAAUUUUUUUUUUUACAUAGCUAUGUGUAGAUGACCAUCAUUUCUUCUUGUUUUGUCUGCUUAGUCUCUCCAGCAAGUCCUCUCAUCU
rnacentral:lncRNA from 1 species